rnacentral:misc_RNA from 1 species
AAAUGCGGAAGCACCGAGAAAAUGCGCAGUAGGUGGGGGCCGUUGGAGGAGAAGUACUUCUCUUGACGCGGCACGGCAUGGUGCUUUCUACUGUAUGCUCAGUUGCUUAGUUUGAAAAACACUCGUUAGAAACCGAAUUCUUAAUAUAAUUCUUGGUAUAUUGGGACUUGGUAGAAUACUUGGCAUACAUAUUAUUUAUAUUUAUUUAUACUUAUCUAGUGAAUCAGAUACAUGGAUCGUGGCAAAACAGGAGUUGGAAGAGCUGGCAAAAGUAAAAUUGCUCAGCAUCCAUCAGAUUUAUUUGCAUUAGGAUCAAAGAGUUCACGGAAUGAAAGUUCUGAUGCUAAAAAUAGACCAGGUGUUGUUCAUACAAAACCAAGUAGUAGUUUGACAACUUCUGGCAGUGAUAGAAAAAAAGAUGCACCUUCAGGAUCAUUACAGUCAUUUCAAUAUAUACCACAGAAAAAACCUAAGUUAGCAGGUCAUGUUGGUCCUCAUCGACCACCUUUCCCUAGUGCAGAAGCUUGGGAAGUUGUAGCUAUAGACAGUGAUCCUGUUGACUUUGUACCUAUGACACUUGAAGCCAAUGAGAAUGAUGAAGGUGAUAAAGUUAUAGGCAUAAUAUGUGGUGCUGUAAAAACACUGAAGAAUCAGAAAUGGAAGCCUGAGAUACUGAUCUACAUGGGACUAUUAUUUAUAGCAAAAAUUCGCCCAUCUAUUUUCUCGAAUGAUUGUAUAUUACACGCAUUGUCAUCUCUCUUAAAGAGAGACCAAAGUUAUAAUUUUAAAAGCAAGGGAAAUGCAUUGGUUCCUGUAUUAGCCGCAAAUCUUCUGAUGAAAGGAUUCUGUGAUAAAAAGAACUGGCCAGAAAUAUUCGUAAAGCUAUAUACGGACGAUGCCGUCGGGGAACGUGUCUGGAUUGAUCACGAAGAAUGCAAAGGUUUUGUCGACAAUAUAAUGACUGGUUUCAACACAAGACAACCACCUAAAUCUGCACUUCAGUCCGAGUUUCCGGUAUUAAUGCCGCGAGACUGCCAAAGCCCCUCUACAGUAGAUGACGAAGAUCCGACAACCUCGGCAACAUCAUUAUCUGCGGACAAGGAAAAAAUAGAGUUCACUGUUAGUCCGCGAUAUACACAUUGCAUAGAGAACGUAGAGUCCAUAGUAUUGGAAGCAGUAAAAGAACAAUUAAAUAGACGCCAACCAGAGACCAUUACGAGAAACUUUUUGAAACUGCUCUCUGCGACGUGCGGCUUUGUUGAGAUCAGAAAUAUUGCUGUUGCCAGAUUAGAAAUGUGGUUGCACAAUCCUAAAUUAAUGAGAACCGCUCAAGAAGUGCUUAGUUACGUGUGUUAUAAUUGUACAACACACACUCAAAGGGAUGUCGAAGUAAUAAGUCAAUUGGUGAAGAUGAGGUUGAAGACAAAAGCUGUAAUUAAUAUGUACUUGAACGGUGUCAAAGAACUGAUAGGACUACACCCGGAGAAUUUAGCUACUAUGCUGAAACAUACGAUCUACAACGAAUUGUCAAACGCACGCAAUCCGAACAACAUGCCCAUGCUAGCGAUAAUGUUUCAAACGUUACCUGAGCAGGCGGCAAAGUUGCUUGCGGAGAUUUUUCAGGAGUUACUUAUGAACCGUGAAGAUUAUCUGAGGCCAUUGCGAGCGUUACUUCGAGAGAUCGUACGUGUGUGUAGGCAUGAUAUACAUCUCGUAGCUUUCGCACAAACACUUAUGUCCGAGAGAGCGGACUUGGCUCAGCAGUUAUUGACUUUCGAGUUUAAGGAUCGUAUGUUCAUGUCCAUAGCGGAUCUGCUAUGUCUUUGUAUGUUCAUGGGAAUAAGCCCGCAGGUAAAGGAAGCGAUAUCCUUAUCACAGCGCGCGGACAAGAAAGACGUCUCUCUGCUGACCAAUUUCCAUUCACUUGUGUCCACGAUACAAAUCGAGGCGAUACUGUGGUUACAAAACUCGGCACAGCAAAUGUAUGCUGUCGGGAGAAACGAUCUUCUACACGCGUUGCAAAAGAUCCUGUACCUGGAGCCUCAUGAGCAGUAUUACAAACUGGACAAUUGGCCGCCGGAGUCGGACAGAGCAUUUUACUUACGAUUGGUGUCCGACGUACCCUUGCUGGAGGAUACACUGUAUAGAUUGCUGUUAUUUGGCCUUUCGAAGGAGAAUAGCAUUACUCAUUCAGAGACGAUGGAGCUGACCGAUCAGUUGAUACGACGAGCCGCCGCUAGUUCGACAGAAAAUGUUUUGAUGUUACGUGUUGAAAAGACGCAGCUAGUCGAACUUAUCUUCAAUCUCUCGGUAUAUCAGCCCCCGGGGACGAUAAAUAUACCCGUAGAUUAUGUGCCACCGUCAUUAGCGAUAUCUAAUCUCUACUGGAAAGGAUGGAUAAUGAUAUUAAUUCUAGCUGCUCAUAAUCCAGAUACGAUAGGUGUGAGUGCGUGGAAAAAUUAUCCUAUUUUGAGAACGUUGAUGGAAAUGUGCAUUACUAAUCAUUUUUCAUAUCCACCGCCAAGUAUGGCUAUCCCGGAGAUUAUGGAACAAGAGCGUUCGAAGGAGCUGCAGGUCGAAGCUAUUGAGAAGCAGGAUAUAUUGGAAUAUGAGUCACACUUGGCCGCAGCGUCUACUCGAAUCCAAUUGUCCGAGCAGAACAGUUUCUUGCUGUCACAAUUGAUCUCUAUGGAUCCAACCGGAAUCGCCAGAAGGCCACCACCGGGCGUGCUGGAGCAGAUACAGCUGUUGAAUACCACUCACCGAUUGGGCCAUUUGUUUUGCCGAUCGCGUAAGCCAGAUUUCUUGCUGGAUAUUAUCCAGCGUCAACAGCAAAACACGUCGCAGAGCAUGCCGUGGUUGGCAGAUCUAGUGCAGAACAGCGAAGGUUCAUUAAGCCAGCUGCCGGUGCAGUGUCUUUGCGAGUAUCUACUGACUACUAGCCCGCAAACGGUCGAGAAGCAGCCUCGACAACAGCAACUUUUAACCCAUCUUCAAACAUUGUUGACUGACCCUGAUGAAGAUCAACAGCACGCUUAUGAAGUCCUUGAGUACUUUCUCAGGAGAUUAAGUAGCCAACAGAGUAGCAGUCGUCUACAAGCUAUCACUGGAUUGAGGAUGAUUCUUGAUACUAUGACUCUUGAUGACGAAAAUAUGGAUGUUGACGCAGAAAACGAGAGAGAGAAAUGGCUUCUACGAAAAUUGCCAUCCAUACCUCAUUUUUUAUCAGUACGUGGCUUGCUUUCUACAGCGUUGCGUAGUGCUUGCCAAGUCGAAAAUAGUCCUGAAUUGGUGCAAGCUUACAUCUCGUAUCUAGCAACACACACCGUCGAUGAUGAUCUACCUGAAUUAACCGACUUAGCCAAUGAAAUCUCUCAAUUGGUAGUUGAACGCAGCACAAUUAUCGCUGCCAUUUUACCGCAACCCGAAAGCGACAAUCAGCAAACCAGACAAACCCUGCAUGCUUUUAUGGCGAUUUUCUGUAAUUAUCUUCAGAAGGCUCGCUUGCCGAGACGAGAAGAUUAUCAAUGGUCAGAAAGUCAGGACCAAAUUCUCGUCCAAUGGAGCAAUGGAGAAGAAUGCACUAUGCAUAUCCUUGUGGUUCAUGCUAUGAUUAUACUGUUAACGUACGACACAUCAGAAGACGAUUCGUUGUUUAACAGUUUGCUGGAGACGUGGUUCCCGUUAACAGAACCACCAAAGGCCUUCCUUGUUGACACCAGCGAAGAAGCAUUGCUUAUACCUGAUUGGCUUAAAUUAAGAAUGAUCAGGAGUAAUGUCCCGCGGUUAGUUGAUGCUGCAUUGAAGGACCUUGAGCCUCAGCAAUUAGUACUUUUCAUACAAAGUUUCGGGAUACCUGUGUCUUCUAUGAGUAAGCUGCUGCAUACGUUGGACAAUGGUGUCCAAAUAGACCCAGGAUCAGUCGGUGAAGCUGUACUGGACAAAACAUAUAUGGCACAGUUGGUCCAAGUGCAACACAGAAGAGGCGCAACGGGCGGCCUGGUUUUUGUCCAAGUGUUGCAACUAAUAGAGCCGCAAUUGCCCGACGAGAGCAUCUUGACCAUACAGAAGCUGCAGAAGCCGUUGCCGCCGAGCGCCACGGUGCAGAAGCAAUCAGUGAUACAGUGCUCCGUCAAGACUGAUGUACCUCACUUGAUAAAUCGGCUGUUCAUCGAGAAUAUCCCCAUGAAUCAGAAAAUGGACGCGUACAGGCGUCUUCACAAGAUCCUGUCGAAGGAUCUACAACGCUGCGGGAAGGAGAGCGGCGCGGUGGUGCUGGCGAUACAACAUAUAUGCAGCGUGUUGAGCUCUAUGCAGGUCAAACAAUUCUUGACCUCGCUCGUGCAUAUACGACAUUGUUCGUGCAAUUUAAUGCGCAUGAUACUCUUUCCGCUCAAAAAGCCAAUGAUGUCGCAACACAUACUUGAUUUGGCACGUAAUAUGUGCUUAAACCUGAUAUCGUUGAUAGGCGAUGUGAAGGCGCCGGUGCUCUCGAUCCUCCGGGAUUUCGCCAACGUGCAAUUGACGAAGACGUCGCAACGUACGGAAUUGUUGAGGUUGAUCCAGAAUCAUGAAAAUCCUGGUUCGAUGUUGGAAAGCACGGACCCUGUGAAUCUAGAGGAUGUAGGCCGCAGAUUGCUGGAUCUUUGUCUCAAACAGCAGAAGAACGACGUCUUGGUCGAAGCGAUGGCGAAACUAUUAGUCAGUGAUAGUAACGAAGGUGCGUUGAAGCCUCGUACGGGCCUGUUGAUUGAUUGGUUGGCAUCGGUAGAACCCGAAUUAAUUGGUACUUGUCCCAACCUACAAAUGAAACUUUUGUUUGGAAAGACGAAAGUACGUAUUGUUAUCGACGGAAGUGUCACGAGCUCUCAUUCUUGCAGACCAUAUUUGUUGACUUUGUUGACACACAGAGCCAGCUGGACCACUUUACACAAAUGUGUUCAGCAUUUGUUAAGUAAAUGCGACGACGGAUACGAUCCAACUGCUGUAUUGGAUUUCUUAUGGGCGUUAACAUGUAAUCCAAAAUUAUGGCAAGGUAGAGAUAAAUUCACACCGAAACAUUAUGUCCCGGAAAAUAUUUUGCUUCUGCAACAACAACAGUUACUUAACUUAGUGGCGUACAUAGUGGCUGAAGCUAUCAGUAUUUGCAAUAUGCAGAACAGGAACGCAGCUCUUGCUAAGAUGUAUGUAAGACUAGAUCUAUUACUACAUUGCAUAUCCGUUGAAAAUCACUUGAUCGCCAGUGUGGUUAUAUAUUUAGCAGAACGCAUGAUGGGUAAUAGCAGGUAUAGUCUUUGCAGCCUCUUGUGGAGCAUUCAGACUAUGUAUGUAAGCCUAUGGAUUUAAUAUCCAUCUCUUUAAGAUUUCUGCUUCCUUGCCGCGGCUAUAUUUUGAAUUAUAAUGUCACAUGAUAAUGCCUUAUGGCUCCUGGUCUUUCACCACUCAAUUCCUGAUUGAUGACGUCAGAAGCAAAGAACACAUUUUUAAAAUAUUCUGAUGUCACCAUCCAAGAUGUCACGCGUAGAUUCAGAUAUGACUCAUCAAUUUCUGUUGCACAUGUACAUGAAAAUUCCUAAAGUCAUCUGUUACCUGAGCAUU